UUUUUUUUUUUUUUGAGCAAACAUUAUCCUUAUGUUGGUUGUGAUUUUAAAAUCUUUACGGAUACUAUUAAUUUAUUUACCACCUAUCCACAUUUGAAUUUUACUCUUAAAACCAAUAUCUCUAACACUCAACCGCUGGAUUUGCAUUAAUGAAAUUAAUACUACAACACCACCCUUUGUAUCUGUAAUGUUAUAUAAGGUGAAAUGAAACUUGGCAUCAAAUACUAAAAACUAUUCAAGAACAAGUGAAAUAAAGUGCAGUGUGUGUUUAUAAAUAAAAUUGAAUUAAGGGGUUUCAGUUGUUGAUCAUUUCGAUUUGUGAACAUGGGUAACUCUUUUUCGAAAUCGACAGAUGAGGCUACUUCUAAUGUCAAGUUGGUGGUCACAAAAAAGAGGGUAAAAUACAUAGUUAGUAAUUUGAAUUUAUGAAAGACGUUUGAUAUCUUAAAAAAAAUUUGAAUUUUUUUCAAAUAUAAAAUUUUUUAUGAUAAAAUUUGAAGUACAUACCGUUACUUUAUUAUUGUGUUGUUUAAUUUUCGGAUUUGCGAUUUGAUUAAAGUGAAGGGUGAUUUGUGUAUUCAGGGAAGUACAUUAGCUGAAUUGAAGCAGGUCAAGCUCGAUGUUCGUCGUCGCCAAUGGCUUUCACAAGGUAUGUUAUAAAUUUCCCUUUCUUUUCGACAUCUGUGUUUAUGUGUUUGUACUCAUGAUUUUUCGGGUCCAGGAGAUAUUUCAUCCGUUUCAUUUUAAUUGAUGUUUAAUUUUUUAUCAUUUAUAUUAAUGUAUAAAAUAAUGUAUUUUUUAUUAUAAAACAAUAGUCGUGACUUUUUGCGCACAAAAACAUAUUUUUAUAUCUUAUUUUUCGAAAUUUUUUUUCCGAAUAAAAAAAAGAUGUUAGAUUUUUAUUUUAAAAAAAUUGAUAAAUAAUAUGGUUUUUUACCCCUCAAUUAUGUGUAAAAAGUCAAAGCGAUUAUUAUUUUAGAAUAGAGUGAGUAAUAGCUACACUUAACACAAAAAUUCAAUUUUUAUAUUAAAUUUUAAAUUUGAAAUUUUUACUUGAUAUAAAUUUUUAAAAAACUAAUUAUAUUUUUUGUCAAAAAAAUAAUAAUUAUAUUUAAAUAUUUUUUUAACAAAACACGUACAUGUAAAAAUUUAAAAGAGAUAACAUGGUACAGAGGGGGGAUUUUUUAUUUAUUUUUUUAUAAAGGGACAUAGGGAUUUCUUUUACUAAUGGCCUGGGGAGAAUCUUUGAAUAGGGUUUGAGUGAUCUGUUAUGUUAAUAUUUUUUAUACUUAUGUAAUCUUGUUUUGUUCUAAUUUUUUUUAGUACUUCGUUUAUGCAGGGAAGAAUGGGGGGUGCAAGGAGGAACCGAAAGGAGCUGCAGAGAUUCAUGCGCAAAAUGGGGAGGAUACAAGGAGCUUGAAGGUUGCUCCUACAGAUGGAGAGAAAAUUGGUUCCAUGCAUGGCAAUAGCUCGGGUUCAUCCUCGAAAGAUCCAAGCAGCAGUGUUACUGGAAGUGCUGUUGAAAGCAACUGCUCUGAAACUAAUUUUAGUGAAAGUAGCAGGAGUUGUAGCAACGGCACGUCUAAUUCAAAAAACAUCAGUGAAGUUCAGGAGGAUGGUGGUUGUGUGGAUGACUGGGAAGUUUUGGCUGAUGAAUUGGCAGCUACAGAUGACAAGGUGGAGCGGUGUGACCCAAAAUCUGAAUCAUUGCUUGAGAAGAGAAGGGUUGUCAAAUUGGAUCAUUUGCCUGAGGUGGUGAAGCUACCAAUUUCAAUUUCCCCCAUGGACGUUUUGAAGCCAAAGAUAGAGAACCGUGAUGAAAGUUCUCAAUCAUUGGUGGAAAAUAACAAUGUUUCCCCACUAAACCAUCAGGCUGAAGUGGUGAAACAAUCAACUGCCAUCGUAGAUGGUUUCAAGCCAAAGCCAAAAUUUGGCGAGGAAUGGAGGGGAUGUAAUGCUUUUCAAUCAAAGCCGAAGCCAGGAUUCGGCCAGGCAUGGAAGCAAAGGCCAGAAAAGCCUGACCCAAAAUGUAAGUCAUCGGUGGAAGAUAUAUCUGUUGCCCAAUCGGAUCAUCUGCCUAAAGUGGUAAAAGAAGCAUCUGCUGCCAUGGACUGCAGGAAGGCAAAGCCAGGAAAGGGCUUGGCAUGGAGGAACAAUGAUACUUUUCGCCCUAAAAGCCUGCCUAAUCCACGAAAGAAGCAUACUUUCCCUGUUAAAGAGGAUAGGCAUCAUGGUCGUGGUGGCACAAAAUCAGGCAAUAAGAAUAUUGCAUCGGAUCCAACACCAUGUCCCAUAUGCUCUGAGGAUAUGGAUAGCACUGAUUUAAGCUUCCUUCCUUGUUCAUGCGGGUUUCAGCUUUGCCUCUUCUGCCACAAAAGGAUUCUUGAGCAGCACUGUGGUCGCUGUCCAGGGUGCAGGGAGCCUUAUGAUAACAAUGCUGUCAAGUGGGAAGAAAGUUCAGAUAAGCUUGGAGAUUGCUCAACUCUCCGCCUGGCUCGUUCUUGUUAACAAGGUUUUAGUAAAGUUUAUUGCAUCUUUUCUUAUGGAUAUUGGGGACUCUUUCUGUACACCGUUUAAUGUUUACUUGUGUUUUAGCCAUAUAUCUGUUUACUAAGUUGAAUAUUGUAGCAUGAGAUGGUUAGGCUUCCUUUAUUUCAGGUAGCCUGUAUGUAGGGUGCUCGUGCUGAUUUAAAUGAAAUGUUUGUAAGUGUUUGAUCCAUACAUGAAUGUAAGAACUCAGACAGAUAAUUAUAUAUAUUGCUUGAAACCUUUGGAUAUAUAUUCAAUCGCCUGCAAUCUCAUUUGCAUAGUAGACAAGUUUGGAAUUUUGUUGAAGUUGCUUUAUGUAGGUGCUGUUAAGUGGCUCAGAAUCCGUCACUGCCAUUUGUAGGUAUGUGGCCUCGGAAUGGAAACAUCAGUGAACAUUAUGUACUGUAAUGGGUUCAUUAGAUUAUGUUUUAUACCUGCAGGAUAUACAUUGAACAUGUUAACUCGAUUCAAAGAUCAGUAGCAUCAUUCAGAUCUUAAGGGCCACUUGCUAACAAAGAAAAAGAAUCAUCAAUGUAUAGUAACUCAGGUUACCAGAUGCAAGAACGCGAAAGUAAAUCUAGGUCAGACUGUCUGUUUUAACAUUUUAAAGAUGGAGUUCCCAAAAUGCUUAGUUACCUGUUUCAUGUUUAGGGUAAAUCAGUCUGGGAUAUAGCUUCUAGGGCAGAAAGAUCUAUCGUUCUAAUGCAUUAUAUUCUGUCGACAAGUCUUUCCAUUUGAGGCAAAAACGCGUUACAUGUUCAGUGAUUUUGAUCAGAAUUUUGUGAAACCUCUAGUUCAAUAAACGCGUUUGCAUAAUUAGAAACAAAGAGAACAUACAUAUGAAAUUUUAUCGUUGAUCUAGCUCUGUAAGGGGGUAGGAAGUAGGAAUUUUGCUAAUUGCUCAUAUACUGAGCAAGGCAAGAUGUUGAUCUAUAUUGGUCAGGGAGCGUUUUCCACCACUCAGCAACUGUGGAUCCAUGGGAAAAUACAUGUUUGCACAACUUCCCGUCGUCUUGCCAUAUCUGUAAUGCUUUCUCUAGAGGCUCAAGCUUCUCCUUUAUGUCUUCAAAUUUCUCAUUUCGAAGCUCCUCCACCUCAGCCCAGAAACUAGAGCUGGAGAUCGGUCUGAAUUCUGUCUUGGAAGCAUGUUCAGACCAUCUCUGGGUGAAUCUGUAGCGUCUUGGUCUACCGUUUCUCAUGUAUGGACCACAGUCAUCAUUCUUAAAGUGUCUGUAGUAGUUGGCAAUAUCUAUUGGUUCAACAAGCUCCCGAAAUUCUGUUCCUAGCUUUAUCCAGUCUUGGCGGCCCUCAAAUCCAUCUGGAAGUUCAUAAUUCUGCAACAAGUCCAUAAUCUCAUCCCACAUGCCCGAUAGCUCAAUCCUCUUGAUGUUGGCCUUAAAGUCGAUUUUGCUGUCUUUCUGAUGUUUAAAGGCAUCAUAGUAGUUCAUGUUGCGCCCUUCACAAUUAAUCUGGUAUGCUUGUAUUUCAUUCAAUGCCUUUGCAAUGAUGACCUCAUACUUUUCAAUAUGGCUUUGAUUUCUCUUCUUCUGAUCCUCGAAUUCACCAGCAGCCCGAAGGCAUAGCCUGGCUCUUGCACUCUGGUACAUCAGAAAUACUCAAAAGUUAGUACUAAGCUUAUCUAGCCAUGCUCAGAAGAAAGAAAAGGCUAAAAAUCAAGAUUUUCUUGAUGAAAUCAAUAAUACUAAUAAUCAUGACAUUAGGAAUCGAAGAAAUUAGGCAUACCAGGCCAAGGUCAUUCAGGGCCACGUCUGUUGAAUCCUCGUUUAAGGUACUGCCAACGGAGUCUAGGGGAAGAUUCUGUAGGUGGUUCAAGCAGAUUACUUUUUUCAUUGCCAAGCUUUUUUGCAGUUCUUCUUCAUAACACAUAUGUUCAUGUAAGCUUUUCAAAGCAAUUUCCCCCUCUUCGGCUUCACUAUCUACCUGAGAACUAUAGAAUAACAUCUGCAAGACCGCGUCUGAAUUUUCAACAACCACCAAUUUCCCAUUCCCUGUGCAAAAUACAUAUUUUCCGAAGGGCCUGUAAGGGCUUGAUUCAACAUAAGUAGAUAAAGAUUCUAAUAGCGUGUUUGGGCAUCCCAUGAGGCCGCUUGCAGAACAGCUUGCAACAGAUGAAGCAUUUCUCAUGACUUCCUUAUAAAGAACCUGAGGUUGCAGUAACUGAUUUUGAGAACUUGCAGUUCUGUAAUUCUUGAAGAAAUUGAGAGCUUUCUGCAAUUCUCCUUCAAUACGCGUGACAGGAGCAAGCAUUAUUCGCGGGACAAUGUCAUGCUUCAUUACAAAAUGUGUGAAGUAUCUUGACCAGUCCUCUCGUCUGAUAGCAUGUCCAAAAAUCUUGUCACCAGCAAGCGGAGAUCCAAAAGUUAGACAAUGAAACGGAAUUCGUUCACCUACUGUGUGAUUAGUAUUUUCCAGGAACCAAAGGGUUGCAAAGAUAGCUACCGCGCCUCCUGAGGAGUGCCCUGCAAAAACAAUUUGUCUCCCCUUCUUAAGAUCUUUGUCCACCUGAAAUUUAAGUUAUUUAGUGUUAUGUUCGUUUAGAACUCGCUAGUUGGAAGAUUUUGAGGCCAGAAACAACUGAAUAAAUGAAUCGUAAAUGAUUUUGUUGAGAACCAGUUCAUCUAAAACCUUAAGGUAUUAGAGGAAGAUUCAAAUGGAUCUUAUGCUACUCCCUCUGUCCCGGUCAAUUGUAUACGUUUCUUUUUCACUGCUCGACACGCUUUUUAAGACACUUAUAAAAUAUAGUUCUACAACUUAUUUUUAAGAUUUUCUUUUUUUUGUAUAAAAGUAUAAAUGUUAUACUUUUAUACAGAAAAAGAAAAUUUUAAAAAUAAUUUACAGAACUAUACUAUAUUGAAGCAUUAAAGUCCGUGCCGCGCCCCCGUCCCCCAAUGUAUACUAUUGACUGGGACGGAGGGAGUAUAUUUCAACACUCCUCCUCACUUGAAAUCUCAUUUUUUGGAUUGAAGAGUGGAUCACGGGCGGCGGGCGCCCGUCUUUGGGACAAUUAAUACCUUGGUGUUCUAAUACCAUGUUGAAAAUCAGCUCAUCUUAAACCUUAAAGUGUUAAAGGAAGGUCCCAAACGGAUCUUAUGCUAUAUUUCAACAGACCUUAGCUACGAAGAAUCGUAUAUGAAUAAUUAAAAUGUGUGCUGGAAUAAGUUCAUUGUUACCUCAAUUUUGAGUGAUUUGUGGAGACUCUUGUAUUUUUCAGCGAAUGCUGCAUUCACCAGGGCAGUCUCAUCAGGGCCGAUACUUCUCAUAGACCGGAACAUUUUAAGAUCAAUUUCUUCUUCUCCGAAAGACUUUUGCUUGAAGAAUUCAUUUACAGACCAUGAUCCAGCAAAUGCAAACACAACAUCCGUUGAUCCUUGAAUUUUGAUACGACGAUAAUUUUUUCCGGACUUGUGAGCUUUCAUGGAUGCAGAACAGGCUCCAUUGAUGAGAUCAUUUGACAUGGCUAUUGCAUUGAUCAUGUUUUCCUCCAUUUUAGUAUAAUGCUCCUUUCUUUUGCAAUUCUGAUGAUGAUGUAUUAGUGGAUUUAUGCAUGUAGUUGGCUAAUUCUUUGUUACUAAAUCACCCUUGCUGUGACUUGUGAGCCAUUGGUCUGUGUUGGUGCAUAGAGCAGCGGAACCAGAAAUUGAAAUGACCGAGACCGAAGUCUAAAAUAAUAAUUCUUUAUACUGAUUAUUUGAAGUCAACUAGGGCUUAUAUGAAAUUUUUUUACUAAUUCUUAAGAAAAAAAUAUGACUAAAUUAAAAAAAUUUAUUGAUUUUUGUGAAUCAGCCGAGACCUCUUGAUUCUACCCUUGGGUUCAUAUGGUCAUUGCACAAGUCUUCUCAGACUUGGACAUACUGUCCGUUCAGGAAACUGGGAAGAAGAUACCAUACAUCUUCUUGUUUACUUUCUGAGUCAUUAUUCCACGUUUAUUUAUUGGCCUCUUGUCAACUUGCCCUUUGUUUUACAUUCUUCAGUGUACUUUACUCUAUUUCCUCAAUUCUUUAGUAAAGGAUAAUCUGUGCUUGUCUCCAUGAAAGUCCUUCUUUCGUAUUCAAUGGUUGGUAGGAUAUUUUUUUACACGCUUAGACACCUUGGACAUUAUUUAGCAAUGAAGCUCUUCAGAAAAGUCUGAAUUCCACUUUCACAUUCACCGUCAAUAUUGUUGUUCAUCAAGAAACUCAGUCAGCUGGACUCUGUUUAUUAACAAACACUAGUUUUAAAUUCGUGCCAAGCACGUUUGGGUAUAUAAUUAGAAAUUUAUUAUUUAUAAUUUAAAUUUUAAUAUAAUUUUAUCACUGUUUUAAUAUUAAUGAGUUAAAAUUUGAUUAAAAUAUAUUAACUGACUGAUUAUAUCUAUUCUGAAAAUUCAACUUUAAGAAUAUUUUUUAUAUUAUAAAUCGGUAUAAUAAAUAAUUAACAUUUUUAUUAUCUAUCUAAAAAUAUUUUCCUAUUUUUUGAUUAAAUUUAAAUCAUAUUUUUUAUUUGAUAUGUAAAAAAAUAUUAUUUAUCAUGUAUUAGCUUCGUAUUUGUCUUGGAUUAGACAACAUUAGAGUUACAAAUGAUUACAUGAUGACCAGUGUUUAUCUUAAAAUAGAGUUAAAGAAAGUUAAGAACAUAUAGUAUAUCUUUCAUUAUUUAUAUUUGUUUUUUAAGAGAUAACUGUGCAAAACACGUGCGCGUAUAUAAUUCAAUAUAUUUAUAAUUUAGUUUUUUACGUCAUCAUAAUUUAUAUAAAAAAUUAUAAUGUAUUGAAAUUCAUGUUGGUCUAUCUCUCGUUGUUUAUAUUUGUUUUUUUAAAAAAUAAAUCGUGCGAAGCACGUAUGAAUAUAUAAUUCCAAAAUUUAUAUUUUAUGAUUUAAUUUUUAACGUCAUUAUAUUAUUUAUAUUUAAAUUUUUUUGAUUUAAUUUUUAACAUCAUUAUAUUGUUUAUAUAAAAAAAUUACUAUGUAUUGAAAAUUUGAUUAAGUAUUAUUAACAAAUUUAUUAUAUUUUCUUGUAUAGAUCUAACUUUUAUAAAUGAGUAGCAGAAAUAAUAUAUUUUUUAGUAUCUAUUUAUUUAUAAGUAUGUUUUUAAUAUCAAUAUAUUUUAUCGAUAGUAACUUUAUUUUUUUCCCUCUUUUAACUAAUUAUAAAUUAUGUUUUUUAUUUUUCUUUAUAAGAAAAGAAUAUUAUUUAUCUAGUAACUUCAUAUUUAUUUCGGAGUAUAGAGGAGCAAUAUAGAUAUAUUUUAGAAUGCUGAUAUAGAAGAUAUCAUGUGUAACUGUGUAGUAUACAAACACAUAAUAGGUUUACGUGUUAUCAUAUAUAGAGGAUGGUUUACGUGUUAUCAUAUAUAGAUGAUGAUCAUUCUUGUUUUUUUGUAACCUAGCCCUCAGCUUCUGUUUAUAUAUAAGUAUAUUGAUUAAUUGUAUACACUAUAUUCAACCCGUUUACAGUUUAUACAAACUUUAACCUGACGGUAUGUAUGAAUCCAUCAGGGUUCCCAUACUCAGGGCAUCUGAGUAUCCUGUGUGGAAAGUGAAAAUGGCUACACUUCUGGAAGCUAUUGAUCCUGAAUACUUGGAUAGAAUUUAUGAUGGUCCAUACAUGCCAACCAAGCUGUCUGCUGCGGUGGAAGAUCAACCACAAAAAUUGAUUCCCAAGGAAAAGAAGGAUUAUACUCCAGAAGAUCUCUCCUCUAUGGGUAAGGAUGCCAAGGUAAAACUUUUGUUACAUAGUGCUCUUGAUAAUGAUAUGUCCAAUAGAGUCAUUGGUUGCAAGACUGCUAAGGAGAUAUGGGAUGCUUUGGAGAUAAGAUGGCAAGGAACCAAAGCUAUUAGGAAGACAAUACUCACGCAUGAGUAUGAGGACUUUGCCUCAAAGUCUGAUGAGUCAUUAAGUGAUUUAUAUGACAGAUUUGUGAUAUUGCUCAAUGAUCUGUCAUUGGUGGAUAAGGAAUAUGAUCUUGAAGAUUCAAAUAUGAAAUUCCUAUUAGCACUUCCUGAGAAGUGGAAUCUGAAAGUCACAACCAUAAUAGGUAACUAUGAACUUGAAGAUAUGUCUCUUGACGAAAUUCAUGCAAUGCUCAAGACUCAUGAACCUGAGAUGGAACAAAGAAGCAAGAGACAUGGAGGAAAAUCUUCGCAUUCUUUGUGUAAAGUUAAUAAUGGAAAAAGAGGAAUUUGAUGUAUCCGAUAUUCAGAUAUAUGUCGUUCUGGUAGCAUUAACAGCAGACACUUUAUCCUGCAGUUAGUUGUUUCAAACAAACUUAAUUCAGGAAUUAAAUAAAAACGGCUUUCUUGUUAUCUUUGUCAGGCUCCAAUUAGUUUUAGAUGGCUUCUUCUAUUUAUAGAUCUUACUGCAACUUGGGAGCAUUUCUGUUCUUGUUUCUUCUGUUCAGUUUCCCUUGUUUUUCCGCGGUUUUUUAUGUAAUAGUGAUCCAUGCACCCUCCUCUUCAAAUGUUUAGCAUAUAGCUCUUUAUAGAAAUAUUUAGUGCUUACUAGUCUUUGUGAACAACCCUAACUGCCUAAUUCUGACAAAAUAUAAUUGAAAUCAGACCAUUCAUUGCUAAACUGCUUUGUGUUUUGUCGUAGAAUCUUCAAAUAACAAACGAAGAUUGUGAUCAUACAGGAAAGAAUACAGCACAGAAGGAUAAAUGAACAAGUACAGGGGGAAAAAAGAAACGAAAGCAAAACCUGAGUCUCACUUGCGUUUGUUCAUACAGUCAGCAAGGCAUGAUGCUGAUCUAUGAUGUUCAGGGAGUGUUUUCCACCACUCAGCAAAGGUAGAGCCAGCAGAAAAUUCAUGGUCGCCUAUUUUUUUCUUGUCAUGCCAGUCUUUUAUGUCUUUCUCUAGAGUAUCAAGCUUUUGCUUUAUGUCUUCAUACCUCCCAUUUCGAAGCUCCUCCACCUCAGCCCAGAAGCACGAGCUCGAGCUUGGCCUGAAUUCUGUCCUGGACUCAUGCUCAGACCAUCUCUGAGUGUAUUUGUAGCGCCUCGGCCUCCCUUUUGCCAUGUAGGGGCCGGUGUCAUCAUUCUUCAAGUGUCUAUAGUAGUUGGCAAUAUCUAGGGGUUCAACAUGUAGCCGAAAGUCGGUUCCUAGGUUUAUCCACUUUUUGCUGACCUCAAAUUCAUCUGGAAGUUCAGAUCUCUUCAGCAACUCAAUAAUCUCAUCCCAUAUGCCUGCUAGCUCAAUCCUCUUAACAUUGGCCUUAAAAUCCUCAGGGUUGUUCUGACGUUUGAAGGCAUCGUAGAAAUUCAUUUCUCUCCCUUCACAUUUAAUCUUGUAUUCUUUUAUAUCAGUUAAAGCCUUUUCAAUGGCGGCCUCAUUACUCUCAAUCUUGUCUUGAUUUCUUUUCUUUUGCUCCUCUAGUUCGCCAGCAGCCCGAAGACAUAGCCUGGCUCUGGUGCUCUGCAAGUUUUUAAUUACUCUUAAAUAUCUUCUUCAGAAAUCAAAUUAAUAACACAGAAAAUAUGGAACUAGGAGUUGAAGAAUAACACAUACCAGGCCGAGAUCAUUCAGAGCAAUGUCCGCGGUGGAGUCCUCAUCCAAGCUAUUGCCAGACGACAGUGGAAGAUUUUGCAGGUGAUUUAAGUAAAUUAUGUUUCUCAUUUCCAAGCUUUCUUUCAGUUCCGUUCCAUAAGACAUAUGUUCAUGUAAGCUUUUCCAAGCAAUCCCCACAUCUUCGGCUUCACUAUCCAACUGUGAACUAUAGAAUAACAUCUGCAGAACAGCUUCUGAAUCCUCGACAACCACCAAUUUCCCAUUCCCAGUGCAAAAGACAUAUCUGCCAAAGGGCCUGUAAGGGCUAAUUUUAAUAAAAGUAGAGAAAGUUUCGAGUAGCAAAUUUGGACAGCCCAUGAGGACACUAGCAGCAUAGCUUGCCACAGAUGACGCGUUUUUCAUCACUUUCCUGUAAAGGCCUUGAGCCUGGACUGAUUCAGUCUGAGAAAUCGUCGUUUUACUAUUUUUCAAGACAUUGAGAACUUUCUGCAGUUCUUCUUCCAUAUGCGAGACAGGAGCAAGCAUAAUCCGUGGAACAAUGUCAUACUUCAUGACAAAAUGUGUGAAGUUCCUCGACCAGUUCUCUCGUCUAAUAGCGUGCCCAAAAAUCUUGUCACCAAUGAGUGGGGAUCCGAAUGUCAGACAACGAAAUGGAAUUUGAUUAUUUCCUAAUUUUGGAGUAUUCUCCAAAAACCAAAGGGUUGCCAAAAUAGCUGUCGGACCCCCUGACGAGUGCCCUGCAAACACUAUCUGUUUCCCCUUCUUACGAUCCUUUUCCACCUGAAAUUCAAUCUAGCUGCUAUGAGCAUGUUUGUCCAGACCUAAAGUUAUUUCUACCUUCUGAAAAAUGUUUGUUUGUGUAAUAAGUUUGAAAUUUGACUUAAAGUUAAAAAUAAGGCAGAAACUGACUUUAAAUCAGAAGUUAGUUUGAUGUAAUUUUUCCAGUGACUAAAUUUUUAAAAGUUUUUUUUUAUAAAAGUCAGUCAUAAGUCAUAAAUCACUUUUAUUUUUAUUAUUACAUUUUUAAUAACCAAUAAGUCAUUAAUAAGUCAAAAUUAUCCAUAAAUAUAUUUUCAGCUUAUCAAGUUAAGUCAAGUCAGUAACAAUUUUAUGCUCAUCCAAACAUACUCUAUAUUUAGUACUGUCUUGCUAAGUUGCGUAUAAUUGCAGCAUUACGCAGGUCAAGCAAGUCAACUAACAGUUUUUUCUUUUCUUUUUGCGAUAUCAAGAUGGCGCGAUAAGGCCAGAAGCAGUGACAAUUUUGCAGUGGCCUCAACUAGGAAUGAAUUAUAAGUAAAGAAAAGGCAUACUGAAUUAAGUUACCUCAGUUCUGAGUGUUCUGAUAAUGAUCUCGAAUUUUUCAGCAAAUGCAGCAUUCACCUUAGCAGUCUCAUUGUUGCCGAUGCUUCUCAUGGACCGGAACAUUUGAAGAUCAAUAUUUUUUUCUCCGAAGGAAUUAUUGUUGAAGUAGUCAUUAACGGUCCAUGAACCAGCAAAUGCAUAGACAACAUCAGGUGAGCCGCUUAGUUUGUCGCGACAAUAAUGUUUCCCUGACAGCCUGUGAGCUUUCGUCGAUGCAGACCAGGCUCGCUUGAUGAAUUCAUCCGACACGCCUAUCUCCUUGAGCCUGUGAUCCUCCAUUUUUACUACAGAGCUCCUCUGUUUUGCAAGAACCAGAUUCUUUGUUUUUAUGAUACUUUAGUUCUGCUAAUUGAUCAUAUGAAUGGAACUGAUCACUUUUUUAUUACCACAUUGCCCUUGCUGCUAUUGUGUGAGAUGUGAAAUUGGUGGUCAAUUUGGUCAUUGAACAAGUCUACUUGACUUGGUUGUACACAUUGAGAGUGAUUGGGUGAAGGAAAGUAACAAGAAAAUGCCAUCCAAGUUCUGGUGUUAAUAUUCUAAGUUGACUUGGCUCCACUCUCUUUACUUGUCUGUAAGUCCUUUGUAUUAGAUUCUCUGCUGCUACUUCUUUGUCUAUUUUUCUUUAACAAGGGUUAUUUUUUAUAGUUACUGACUUACUGUGAAAAUUUUCUGAAUCCUUAAGUAAAGGGUUUGUUUGAUUGUUUCACGCUCCGAGAUAUCUCUGAUCCUGUUUUUUCAUUUAAACCCUACUUUUUUCCAUAUUUGGAAGUGCCCAACAAUACGGAAUUGUUUUUGAACUCCUAUUUCUUUUGCAGAGUUGAAUGUUAAUUUUUUUUUUAUCAAAAAGAAGCCUUACUUUUCGUAAGCCAGCUAUAUAUAUGUGCAUGUUUUGGGAAAAAAAAAUACUCAUGAUUGACUUAUAAGUCAGAAUCGACUUGUUUGUACCAAUCGUGUACAAAAUUUCUAAUUCAGUCUUAAUUUAUAAAUCAAGAAGUUGAAAAUAGUAGAUUUUUUUAUUGAUUUUUUUAUAAAAAUAAUUACUACAAAAAUACUAUGAUCAUUUGAAAUAAUAGUUUAUAUUUUUUGUUAUUAUAUUUACAAUAUUUAUAAUUUACUAUAUAUAUCAAAAUUUAUAUUUCGCAACCACUCACUUACAAAUGAACUUCACUUCACUUGUAUUCACAAAUGACAAACCAUUCCAAAGCUCUCUUCUAAAAGUCGGUGAUCAAUCACGAUUAGUCACCGAUUAAUCCCUGUUUCGUAACUCGUCGAACUGAUUAAAUCUCCGAUUAAUUACUGAUUAAUCUGAUUAAUUCCCGAUCAAUUCAAUUAAUCACCGAUUAAUCUAUGUUCCGUGACUUCACCGAUUAAGUCCGAUUCCAGCUUUUUACAACACUAUCGAAAGCAUGAAUAACAAAUGGACCCCUUUUACUUGGAUCACAUAAGUCUCAAAUUCCCCCCUUAUUCGGCCUCAAAAGCCCAGUAUCAGUUGAAUCACAUCUGGCCCCAGUCCGAUUAUAACCCUUUAAGCAUGAUAUCUAACUCACAUCGUUGACAUGAAUUUAGCCUAUAAUAUAUAUGCUUCCCAAAUUAAUUACACCGUUAGAAUUUGAAAUAAGAUUUGAGAUGGGGGAGAAAACUUUAUUCGAAUAUAAGUUAGGCAUGAUAAUAUUGAUAUUUGCUCGGAAUUUUGAUUCCUGGGUUUAUUUACUUUUGCAUUUGAAACUAUUACGAAUUCUUCGUUUGAUUAUCCUUAAUUCAUGUACAGUAAUAUUUAUUAUGAUCAAUUCAUUUAAAGUUAAAAUAUUUGCUAGUUGAUUGUUGUAAUAAAUUAUUUUAUUGUAUUUUAAAAUGAAAAGAUAUUAAAACAUAUUUCUCAUAUGCAUACCGAAGGGUCAUAAUCCAUCGACUUUAAAUUCAUUUCAAAAUUUUUAUUUCUUAACAAUUUAAAACCGUUUAUAAUUUAUUGAGAACAAUUGGUUGUAAAGGAACCACACUAGGGACUUUGUCAAAUAUAUUGUAAUUCGUAAAUUACUACGUCUAAUUAAAAUUUAAUUUUCUAUCUCGUUUAAUCAUAUAUGGCUUUUCUUUGCUAUUCGACACAUAUUUUAUUGCAUUUAUAAAAUAUAAUUAGGAAAAUUAAAUUAUAGGUCCCUGAACUGUUGACGUUUUAUUGUCUAGGUCCCUGAACUAAAGAUUCUGUAUUUUAGGUCACUUAACUUUUCCGUUUUCUGAUUUAAGUCCUUCUGUCAAAAAGAUUCGAACGGUGUUAACUAGGGUUCCUCCUGAAUUUCAUACAGAUCAAAAUAAUUUUGAAAGUGUUAGUGAUAUUCAAACUCAAAUUUCAAGUAGUCAGAUUGAAACUUGAGUCUGUAGCAACACUCAUAUGACACCAAUUUUCACAAACCAGGUCGAAUUCAAAAUUUUAUAAAUUUAGGUCUCUAAAUUCGAUGAAGAACCUUAAAUUUAUGGUCUAAUUCAAGUUUCAAUUCGACUACUUGAACUUUGAAUUUGGAUAUCACUAACACCUUCAAAAUUGUUUUGAUCUGUAUGAAACUCAUGAAUCCUUGUUAACACCGUUGGAAUCAUUUUGACGGAAAGACUUAUAUCAAAAAACGGAAAAAUUAAGUGAACUAAAAUACAAAAUCUUUAGUUCAGGACGACAAUAAAAACGUCAAUAGUUCAUAAACCUAUAAUUUAAUUUUUCCAAUAUAAUUUUAUAAUCUAUUUUUUAUUAAAAAUAUUUUUAAAAUAAAUAACAUAACAUUAAAAUGCGUGUAUCGUCCGGUUCCCCGCACUAUAGUGGGUGUUUGUUUCCCGCUUUUAAGCCGGGCUUUUGGUUUAUAAGUUAGAAGCACUUAUUUCGUACUGUUUGUGUAAAAAGUCAAGAAGCACUUAUAAUAAGCUAGGAAUGCUAGCUUUUGUUUCAGAGCUUCUGCUUAUUUCCCAAACACUUUAAUCACUUAUAAGUCUUAAUUUGCUUCUAACUUCUACUCCACUUUUUUAUUUUAAGAAAGAAGCACUUAUUUUAAACUCACCCAAACGGCCCCAUAGUUUACUGACGGACACGAGAAAAAUAGCUUAAAAAUUGUAAAACCGGAAGGUGUUCGAAAGCAAAAAGGAGAGGGGAGAUGGAAGAAGAGAAAGCGGCAGCUUACUACGACGAGCUGACUCGUAAGGGCCAAGGCGCUGCCCGUUUCAAACAGGGCCUCGGCUUCUCCUCUAACGACGCCGUUUCUUCCCAUACUAACAAGCUCUCAUUUGUUAAAGCAGGAGCUUCUUCCACAGGCCCUGACAACAACAACAACAACACGUCUCAAUCUCAAUUGGAUAAAGAAGCUCAGCUCAAGUCAAUUCAGCAAAAACUCUCUAAAUCAAAAUCCAAUCAUUCAUCAGAGAGAGAUCGAGAUAGGGAGAGAGAUAGAGAGAGGGAGAGACGUCGUAGUCGGAGUCCGAGGAGAGAUCACCGGAGUAGAGAUAGGGAGAGAGAUAGAGAUAGAGACAGAGACAGAGAGAGGGAGAGAGAUAGAGACAGAGGGAGAGAUAGAGAGAGGGAGAGAGAUAGAGAUAGAGAUAGGGAGAGAGAUAGAGAGAGGGAGAGGGAGAGGGAUACUGGCAAGGAAAGAGAUAGAGAGAGGAGGAAGAGGAGUUUAUCGCCUCGCGAUAAGAGGAAAUCAAACAAGGAUGGAAUUGAUUAUGCUAAACUUAUUCAUGGUUACGAAAAAAUGGUACUAUUUAUUUACCCCCUUCUGCUACAUCUUUGAUUCGAGUUUUAGCUAUCAUUACUUUAUAUUAUUCCACCAUGAUAAUGGCAUUGUAUUGGAUCAUUAAUUGAUAGGAUGCAUCAUAAUCAGCAAUUAUAUCGCUGAGUACUGAUCAAUUACUAUAGAUAUUGAAAAUUAGAUUGUGGGUAUACUAUACGCCUAUGCAAAUUGUAGGAAUGAGUUAGUAUAAUUUUGACAAGAUGUAAGCUCCCUACUAUCAAUGUCUUUGAUGCUAGUGUCUCAUGUUCACUACCUUAGUUGCACAACAGCCUCUGUUUCAGCUAAAACGUUGGCCGUCAAAAUGACAUAAGUUAAAGGAAAAGGCGAGAACUAGUUUUACAUUGCUUUGCUAAAGUGGUCUUGGCUACAAUUGUUAUAUCUGAUUUUAUUUUUUUUCCUUUGCCUCAUAAUUUGAACCUAAAGCUGGGUAUGUAAAAAGAAGUUGGACCUUAGUUUUGCUUUACCUUUACCAAAAAGCACAGAGGUAGUACGUGUCAUAUUGAUACAAGGAGUACACAGGGAGUCGAAGUUUUUGAAAUGUGAUUUUUUUUUGUUUGCUAAUAAAACGUGGCUUCCUUAGGCUAAAGUGAUAAACACUUGCAAAAUUCCACAAUCAUUUCUCAAGUGUCGGUUGUUUAUUGGUUGUUCCUUAAUAGUAUUUUUAAUUGUCAAUGUCAGGAUAAGAUUUAGGGUUUGUGCAGUUUCCUUGUUUUUAGUAAGCUUGUUGUGAUUGUCUACCUUAAUUUCAUAUGAUUUUACUAUUGAUUUAUGAAUAUAAGGUAUUUAAUAGUUUCACUUGGAUUUAGUAUUGUAAGCGCUUGACAGGAAGAUGCAUAAAUUGUAAUAUCAUGCUCUUUCUUUGACAGUUGAUUCUUACAAAAUUUUUGUUUUGGUGAGUAGCAAUUGUGAUGGUGAAGUUAAGUAUGUAUAUCUUUGUUUGCACAUUAGUUGUGACUUGUGAGCCGUGUUUGCUCCGCUGCUUUUUGUCAGUAUCCAUCAGCACUGAUAAAAACCAUUAUAUUUUGGCAACAGUCCCCUGCUGAGAGAGUCAAGGAGAAGAUGAAGCUUCAGCUAUCUGAAACUGGUAUUGAUACUUUAUCAUAAAAUGUAAUUAGUCAUAUAGUAUGAUAUAUAUCAUGAUAUAUCUGAAUUCCUUAUAGAUAACUGUAUAUGUUGUAUACCAACUCAUUGACAUGCUGAACUGAGAUUUUAAUGGUAAAAGAAAUAUAACGUUAAAAUUUGCAUCUAUACAAGGAACCCCCACAUGUUUACUAUCUAAAGGCUGUACCUAAGCAGUAGCAUAUCAGUCUUGAGCAAAAACUAAUCUACGUAUAUUACUAGUGCUGUUAUCAGUCUUUAACCAACUAUUUUGCAUUUUCAAUGCAUGUACUAUACAUUUUUUUUUGUUUACAGUGUUUGUGCUACUAAUUGGCCAUUUGGGAUGCAAUUUCACUGGAAUCAUUAGAUGUCCUUAUAUAUUUAUAUCAGCUUUACUCCAAUUAUUGUGCAUCUGUAGUCUGUAGUUUCAUACAUAAAUAAUUGUCUAUGCUUCCAGCCUUUUACUCCUUCAUGUAUUGUUUCGUAUAGAUGUUAAUGCGAUAAUGCUCGACUUACGUGCAGCUAAAAAGGAUGCAACAAAUGGCAAGGGUCCCGGAUGGGAACGCUUUGAUUUUGACAAGGAUGCACCUCUUGAUGAUGAGGAGAUCGAAGGUUAAUAAUGCUAUUCAUUAUGUAAUAUAUGAGUGUUAAUAUAAUAUUUUUAUAUAUCUAAUCACAUGAAGUAUGUUUCAAGUGGCUCUAGUCGCGUGAAUGCAUAGUAACUAAAGUAAACUUUGCACUAGUAUGCUGGUCCAAAGCGACGGUGUCUUUGCAGUUCUUAACUUAUUUUGGUCUUCAAAAAUUAUUUUGUAGUUGACAAGUUUUUUAUAACUUGUGGAAUAGCAUAUAGUUUAGUUGCAUUAGAUAUUAUGCGGAUCAUUGAUGACUUGCGCAUCCCAUGUUGCCAAGCUGUUGAAAGGAAACUAGGAAGUAGAAUUUGCCAGUUGCUGAUAUAAAUAAUUUUUGUUUAUUUACCUCGUUAAAAUGCACACUUUUACUGUUAAUAAGUAAUAAUCCAUUGUAGAACUUAGUUAGCUCUAGUUUGUUAGGGAAGUGGACUGAGUUGAGUUUCUUCAAUCACAGCUGCAGAUGAUGACAAGGAGUUGGUUAAGCACAUAGGUCAAAGCUUUCGAUUCUCCACAGUUGAGGUAUUGCUUAUUCAAUCCAUUAUCAGAUGUCAGCCAGUUUAGUGUUUUCCAUUUGUGUUAUAUUAACAUCUUUUUGUACAGACAAAAAAUGAGGAAAAACUCAAGGCCGCUCAUGAUGAGGCCAUGUUUGGAGCUCCGACUUUUGCACCAGCAGUCGGUACAGACACUGAGGUGGAAGAGGAGGAAGACAAAAGGGAAAACCCUGUGAGUCUUAUAAGUGACCAGGUGAGAAAAUUUAUGCAUCUUGUAGUUGCUAUUUAAAAUUGCGCCACUCCAUGUUUUUAAGGACUUUCAUGUUUCUUACACCAGGUUCUGGCCAUGCAACAAGGUUCUUGGAGAGAUCGUGCUCGUAAAGCUUGAGUGGACUAGUAUGUAGCUAGUCUGAUGUCUCUGCACUGGAUUGAUAAAUUGAUUAGGAAGGAGUUCAAAAGGUCCAAUUAACCUGAUUAGCCCCCUUGCCUACCAUGUAAUUGUAGUUUUGUUUAAUAGCAGCAGGUGACUAGUGUCUUACUGAAUUUGUAUAAUAAUUUUAAAAUUUUGACCAGAAAGCAGAAGGCACGUAUAUUAAUAUAUUUUUUUUCUGAAACAGUGCUCAGUUGUAUAAAAUCUUUAAAGAUGGAUGUAAUCUGUUAGCUGGAUUUGUUGAUAAUUGACACCGGAAAGGUGAACAUUAAGUUUUUGAAAACUUGAAGUUCUUAGAGUUUAUUGCAAAACGCACCCCUUUGGAUUUUCGAAAAAGCAUUUACGGCCUAUACUUUACAUAAUUGCACUUUGCAACCCGCUGGUUCGUUUGACGUGUCACUUUGCAUCCCUUCCGUUAAUUUUGACGGUUAACGUUAAAAUUCUCAGGGGUAGUUUGGGAUUUUUUAAAAAAUUAAUUUAUAACCAGAUUUUAUUUAAUUUUUUUAACCCUCUAAAUGAUAUUUUUUGAAAAAUCUUAAAGAACGAAAGUUGUAGAUAAUGAAAUGAUCCUUUUAAACAAUAAAGUCAAAAUUAUUGAAAUCUUUUUUGUAAUUGUUUAAUACAUUACAAAAAAUGGAGAUCUUGUAAAAAUUCGUGAUAAAUUCAAUUAAUUUCGGAUUUCGAUGAUUUUUGAUGAUUCGGACAACACUUUAAAUUGCCCAUAACUUUCGAAUUUUAUUUUGAACUUGGAAUUAAAUAAAAUCUACUUUAAUUGAAUUUUAAAAUAAAAAAUGAGUUGUAAACAUUAUUUCGAAAAUAUUUCGAAACAUAAUAUGAGGAAACAACAUGAACGAAAGUUAUAGGCAAUUGAAAGAGUUUUCCGAAUCAUCAAAAAUCAUCGAAAUCCGAAAUUAAUAAAAUUUAUUACAAAUUUUUACAAGAUCUUUAUUUUUUGUAAUGUAUUAAACAAUUACAAAAAAGAUUUCAAUAAUUCUGAAUUUCAUUGUUUUAAAAGGAUCUUUUCAUUAUCUACAACUUUCGUUCUUUAAGAUUUUUCAAAAAAUAACAUUUAGAGGGUUAAAAAAAUUAAAUAAAAUCUGGUAUAAAUUAAUUUUUUAAACAAUCCCAAACUACCCUGAGAAUUUAACGUUAACAGUCAAAAUUAACGGAAAGAGAGCAACGUGAAGCGCCAAAUGAACCAGCGGGUUGCAAAUUGCAAUUAUGUAAAGUAUAGGCUGUAAAUGCUUUUUCGGAAAUCCAAACGGAUGCGUUUUGCAAUAAACUCAAGUUCUUACUGAUAUGUCAAGAGUUUAAGACCCCUAGUUCCUUAAAAGGCUAGAAGUGUGAUGAUGAUAGCGAGGAGAGAAACAUAUGAAACUUCCUGUAUAUAGUAAGCAGAAGAGGAAAAAAUGCUGUCAACUUCUGCAGAGUUGCAUUAAAAAAGGUUUCACAUCUUUUGCCAUCCAGCUGUUUCUGAAUUUAUUAAACCGGGUAACAUGAAAUAGCCUUUGUUAAAAGACUUGGGUUGCAGAAAUUGAGAAUUAAAAAUAGGGAUAAAUAUCAAGUUGGUGACUCGUUUUGUCCAAAUGUAUCAAUUGAGUGACUGAUUUCUAAAUUGACUCAAAUUAGACACUCAUUCGAAAAAUUUGUAUCAAAAAUAUUACUCUAUCGUUAGUCAAAAUUUUGAAAAUAUUAUAUAUUGAGUUUCACACAUUUUUUAUGAAUGGUAUUACAUCCAAAUGAAAGAUUCCGAGUCCUACUAUUUUUGCUAAUAUUUUUAGAUUUUUAAAAUUUUAUCAACUAUUUAUUUUUAAUUUUUUGAUUGUUUUAUUUGAUUUAAAUAAAAAUAAAUAGGAGAUAAAUUUUUAAAAAUCUAAAAAGAUUAUCUAAAAUACUAGAACUCGGAAUCUUUCAUUUAGAUGUAAUACCAUUCAUAAAAAAUGUGCGAAACUCAAUAUAUAGUACUUUCAAAAUUUCGACUAACGAUAGAGUGAUAUUUUUGAUACAAAUUUUUUUAAUGAGUGGCUCAUUUGAGUCAAUUUAGGAAUCAGUCACUCAAUUGAUACAUUUGGACGAAACGAGUCACCAACUUGAUAUUUAUCCCAUUAAAAAUAUCCGGUUGACUUAUUUAUUCAGGAUAUAUUGAAAUUUUUUCAAUAAAUCAAAGAUUUUUAGUCAAAUCGAGGUGUAAUUUAGUCGGUAAAUAUUUUUUAAAGAUUGAUCGAAAAUAUUAAAUAAUUGAGGAUUUUUAAAACGCAAAAUGUAGCAAGUAAACAUAGAUAUAGCCUAUAUGGCAAGAAAAAAAUGGAGAUAAUAUACUACUUGCUCGAAUUGUAGUCAUUAUAGAAAUCGGGGAUUGGAACGACAACCUGAAAUUAUAAUCGUUAUAGAAAUCGGGAAUUGGAACAACUAAUCCGUUAAUCUACCAAUUCAGAAUUUAUAGCUGAUUUAUCGGGGAUUUUAAUCAAAUUGACAAUAAUAUUUUUUAAGAAUUAAUCGAAAAUUUUUAGAACACCGGAAAUAUACAAGUAUUUUUAGCAGUACUGUGCUGACUGCUGUCACAGCCACCUAUCUGACUAAUCCCUCGUGUCGUUCACCAUCUUUUAAUAUAUGACAGGUGUGGGAGAAACACCACAGAGCAAAAUUAUGAGUACAAUUCAGCACAACAAUGGUAGAAUGAAAAAUUCAAGUUUGAGAAUUGAGCUCCUCUCAAUGAAUAAAAUAUUGCCAAUAUAUAUCUCAGGAUUCCUUAGCUUCAAUUACAAUCAACUGACAACUUCUAUAGCAAAAUUUUCCAGCAGAGUACUGACAUUCCCUAAUAGGGAGAAUUCUCCCAUGCUAUCUCAUAAAAUAUAUUAUAAAACUCGUUUAGCCUAUUCAGCUAAGUUUCUUUCUUGCAUUCAAGCCUGUCACAAUAGGACAAACGAUAACGUACAACUUUGGAAUGAAAAGGAGAUGGUCACAUCAGAUAUCUAAGUUUUCCCUCGAAUUUCAUUGCCACGGGCUAACCGGAUGUGAAUAAGCUGCUUCAUGGUAAGAUGACAUUUAUUGAGGGAAUUGCUCAACAUCCAUAGCAGGUAAACCAGAUUGUUCCAAUCUUAUCCCUCUCAGUAAACUUUUCGCUUGUUCCUUCUCCUGCAAUAGUGCAAGUAGAAGUAUAGAUAAAUUUAAUAUUUUUGUAUUUUAUAACAAACAUGCAAGAACUCCAAGUAAAAGGUCGUACUAGCAAUUAAUGUUUCCAGAAAGAAAGGUGAUGCAACUUACAGGGCCAGUAUAGUCAAGCAGACGGGUACAAUACAUUGAUGCUUCUUCAAACCUCUUUUGAUCUUUGCAAUGCUGACCAAGAAACAACAAAGCUUCUACCAUAUUUGGUCCUUCCCUUUCUUCGUCUUCCAUCCUUUCCAAAUCCUUUCUGUAAUAAAAUGCUGCCUCUUCAAAACGCCCAAGCUCCUUGUGCAGCUUUGCUAGCUGGUGAAGAGCAAUUGCUUCCCGGUCAUUGCAGUUUGAUGCCCUCCUGUAACACUUUAUAGCCUCCUCAGUCAUAUUAAGCUGUUCUGUUUCAUAACACUGAGCCAUGGCAAUCCACAACCUGGAAUCAUUAGGCUGCAAAAACACUGAUUUUCUAAAGUAAUGAAGGGCAUAAAACGGCAUCCCCAUCAUUUCAUAUGCUUGUCCUAAUCCAUACCAUGCUCGAUAAUCACAUGGAUUGAUAUCUACAGCUCGCCGAUAUGCAUCAAUAGCGGCGGGGGUGUUUUUCAUCUCAACAUACUCAUGUCCCAUUAGUGUCCAAGCUGAUAAAUAUUUUUUAUUCAAUUUUAGUGCUCUCCUGAAAUACAUGACUGACUUCUCAUGCUGCCCUUUUAAACUGUAGUAAUUACCAAUAAUGCAGCAUGAUUCCGGCCUGUACUUAUCUGUCAUAAAUACUCUGUGGGCAAGAUAACUUAGGGCUGAAUAGCAUUCUUUUGCAUACAGCACAUUAGAAUACAUAUCCAUAUCUUCCACCCGGUAAGGAUCAUUUCUUAAAAGCUCUUCAAAUAUGACUUCUACUUGUUCAAAUUCCCUCAAAUUGUACUGGGCUUUAGCAAUUUGAGCAUGGAUGUAGUUGCUAGAGACAAAAGUACCUUGCAAAUACUCGUACUUUGCCAAGGAUUCAUUAUGCAUUCGGAGUUCAUGGUAGGCACUGGCAAGAAAGAAGUCCUUCAUCCAAUGGUUACUGAGAUUAAGGCUGUUCAAUGUAUCAGCUGUAGUGCAUAAACUCUGCAGCUCAGACCAAGCAUUCCAGUUCCAAGGGUAGCUAUUUACAGACUCCACAAGUACAGUACAUGCAAGAUUAUCAUUGCCUUUUUCUUUGAGAACAAGACCAUACAGGUACAGACCAAAGGAAUCAAUUGAACCAUUUUUCCGAAGCACAGACAACUCCCUCUCAAGUGAAACGAGUUCCUGGUUUGAAGCUUCAGUUUUGCCCAGGGGUCCUUCAAGCUCAAUAAUUUCUUCUUCUUUUCUCUUUUCUCCAGCCUGUGUAAGACAAAUAGCAUACGUACCAAUUACAUUCAGUGCUUUGUCAACUAUUAUUAUAAUUCAUGACUUUAGUUGACAACUCAUUAGAGUCUAAUUUGCGCUAGCUCUUCACAUUCUAUCAUCACGGAUUUGGCAAGAGACUCCGUUGGAUUGGUGGCGGUUAGUGUAUUGACGGUUGUUGCCAAACAUCGCAGUUUGAUAUCUCCGUUUCACAUCAUUGUCACCCAUCAUCGACAAACAAAAACUGUUUAGGUAAGUCCCAUGUGAAGAAGGCCAUGGGCUAAGGUAUCUUAAUAUUUAUAUCACACACUAUAUUAUUUAUUGUGCACUAAGCCGGGGGUCUUCACGGAAACAGUCUCUCUGCCUUAAGGGCAGGGGCAAGGCUGCGUACAUCUUACCCUCCUCAGACCCUGCUCUAAGCGGGAUAUACUGAGUAUGUUUAGUUUGGUUUGGUUUCUUCACAUUCUAUCAAAACUAUGACAUCAAUCAAUAACAUUUCACAUGUUUAAUCCUAUUGAUAACCUUGAGCAAAAUACAGAGAUGUUGAUGAUUAAGCGUGGACUUGAAAGCAGUGUCAUUAAAGGCAAAAAGCGCACAUAUUAAUUAAUAUAAAUUUUUAUAUAUUAAGAUAAUCGGACAUGCUGAAUACUAUCUAUAAACUCAAAAAAAUGAAAAUUAGAUAAAUAAAAUAGGCUCAUGUGUCAGUACUAGAUAUAUUUAGAAGUGGAUAAAAUGCAUUGGCCAUUCCUGAAUUGCAUUGAAUAUUUGUAGCCAUUAAGAAGUCUUGUACCGGUGCUUUGUUAGGAUUUGUGUUGGAUGAUUGAGGCGGCUAGGUUUUUUGGAGUGUAUAUAUGACUAAAAAUCUAGUAAGUAUGAUUUACUAGGCUUUUAAACAAGGCCCAAUAAAACAAAAUAUUGACCAGCCUAUUAAAAUUAUGCCCAGAUCUAAUAAAAACACCCAUUCACACAAAAGCAGGCUUUUUCUAGAUUUUUUGCGCUUUGAACUUCAGCAUUUAGCGCGCAUAAAGCGGGGCUUUUGAAUAUGCUCUGCACUUCGGAAAAGCAAAGCCGAAUAGGUUCGCUUUGAGCUUAAGCGGAAGUUUAAGCACGCUUUUGAUAACCAUGCUUGAAAAAACACAGAACUAAUUAUAUACAAACUCUUCUAAUCAGCACUUGUUUUUGGAAUCCAUGCAUUUAUGACUAUUUCAUCAAAUUAUAUAAAUGAACAACCUUCAGAUAAACCAAAGUGAGUGCCUUUGCAUUGAAAGGCCAGGAACAACAAAUAGUAUACACGACAUCCAGAGAGGCAAAAUGCAAUUUGUGCAGUUGACAUAUCUAUUUACUCAGCUAGGCAACGAACACAAUAUAUACUCUAUUAAUGCAAGUGAAAAGUAACCACAAUAUCCAUGGGCCUCAUUUUUUAAUUUCACUUGUCGACGGGCAAAAAUUUCAUAUUCAAUUGACUAUUAUGAUUCAAAUCUUAUAUAAUAUAUACAUAUAUAUAUGUAUGUAUUCCAAUAGAAGAAAAAAAGAUAAACCUUUUAAGUUGCUCGCCAUCCAGCCACAUAUAUCAUGAAAAAGAUUCUUCAUAUAUAGGAUAUAAUUCAAUUUUCAUGGCAUCACUCAAUCGAAUCAACAAUCAAUUGCUCAACAUAAUUAAAGUUGUGAAAGUAUAAAGAAACCAAGUAAAGAGCAUACAUAUAGGACAUAAUUCAAUUCGCAUGGCAAAAGUCAAUUAAAUCAACAAUCAACAGCUCAACAUAAUUUAAGUUGUAAAAGUAGAAACAAACCAAGUAAAGAGCGUAACAUCUCAAGAAAAAUGCCUUCUUCCCAGUCUGGUCACGGAGCACAUGAGCAGCACGCCUAUACUCCCUACAAUCAAAAUAAGACUUGGCCAGAAGGUAAAAAUCAUUGUCCAUCUCCUCAUUGUCUUCCUCUGGCACCGGAGUAGAAAUAUAAGAAAUCCCAGCAGCAGGAGUGGAAGUUGACUCAUUUGUCCGAUACCGUCUCCUAAUACUAGAACUUCCUCUCUGGAAUCUAGUAUGAGAUGGGGUGUUCUUUGUAUUUGAUGGGUCAAUCUCAAUCCCCAUCAACUGUUCAGCUGCCCUGUAAUCAAGAAACACACACACACACACACACAUGACACAUACAUCUCAAGAUUUGUUCAAAACCCAUCAAAAUUGAAUCUUUACUAUAUGGGCACACACAAAAAAUUGAAUAUAACCUCGGUAUAACCAAAACCCAAGUAAUUUCAAGAUUGAAUCUUUACUAAAUGGGCACUCACAAAAAAAUAAAUAUUAUUGCAAUGCAAGCAAAACCCAAGUAAUCCUAAUACUUGUUUAAAACUCACCAAUAUUGAAUCUCUGCUAUGGGCACUCACAAAAAUUGAAUAUCAAUGCAAUAUAAGCAAAACCCAUGCCAUUACAAGAUUUGCUUAAAGACCAUCAAGAUUAAAUCUUUGCCAAAUGGGUGUCAAUAAAAACUGAAUAUUAAUGUAAUGCAAGCAAAACCCAUGUCGAAUCAAGAAUCAAUUAUGAAAAAAAUCAAAAAUUUGAAAUUAGGGUUUAUGAGAUUGGGUACCAUUUGGAGGCAGAAUAGAGACAACGAUCGCUUAGAUGACGAAUUGCAGUUCGGAGCUCCGCUCUACAACUCUCCUUUGUACCCAUUAUUAAUCAACCCUUAACUCUCAACUCUCUGCUUGUUGUUUAUACUCUGGCCAAAGUAUAUAUGUAUGUGAAGUGGUGUUUAUAUUUAAGCUGUGUACUCUUUAAGCGUAUGUGUUUGUGAGUUUACUGUUAAGAAGAAAUUUCAAAAUUUUCAAAUGACAAUGUUGCGGCGCGUCCGCGCUUGGCCUGAUUUAUUAUCCCGAUAAUCAAUUUGGUUCCGAGAUAUAAGAAAUAACUUGUUAUCUCAAAAGAUAUCGUACAAUCAAAUUAAUUUAUGAUAAUUUUUAAAUUCACCAGUAAGAUAAAUCUGAAAUUCAUGCAAUUUGUUAGCAUUAUCAUACUUAUCAACCAUCCAUAAAUUAGGAUUAAUGAACUAAAUUAAUUUUGAUCAUUAUAUAUUGAACCAAAAUAAAAAGCUCAACCAUCUAUAAAUUAGGAUUAAUCAACCAACUUAAUUUUUAUCAUUAUAUAUUGAACCAAAACAAAACCGUCAUGAUUAUCGAAAGAUAGUAAAAAAUCAUAAGAAAUCUUGUAUUAGUUACUUCUAUUAGAAAACAAGCAGGUGUAAUGCCUACCCGAUGAUAAAAUUUGUUGACACGAGGAAGACCAUAUUUUAGUAAAAUGUUUUAAUUUUUUGCCAAACAAUGAAUUAUUAUUAAUAAAAUAAAUAUGUGACGACUAUUAACGUAUUUUAAUGGCAAGCCGGCGACCAUUGCAAAAGCUCCAAAGCCUCGAGAGACUCUGAAUGGCGGGGCUAUUGUUUAUUGGGCUACUCUUUGACAAGAGCCCAAAUCAUACUCUCUCGGGCUACUAUUAAAUGGGCCACGCUUGAGCUGAAGCCCAGAUCAUUCUCUCCCUCACACACAAAUGAACUUUGGAGAGUGUUUUUAUUGGGAUUUUGAAUGAAUUUACUUUUGCAAUCAUAAAAUCCGAGAAUAUUCGAUUGAGAUUAUUUAGAAUCUAUUAAAAUUAUAGAGUAUUUUAUUGAAAUUUUAAAUCAUGCUACAAAAUCUGAUGGUAUUGAAUCAGGAUUUUUAAUUAUAUUUUAAAAUCUGAUGGUAUUCAAUUGAGAUUAUUUAAAAUCCAUUGAAAUAUGAUGGUAUUCAAAUUCUGAUGGAUUUUUUUGAAUUUCAUAAAAUGAUGAAUUUUGUGGCAUUUCUCGGUGUGUUUUAAGUUUUUUGAAAUCCCACCAGAAUUCAUGAUAUUUUGAAGCAUUGUUUUUAAAUUCUAAAGAAUCCAUAUCAACUCUACGACAUUUUAUGAAAAAUCCGCACAAAAUCAAAAUCUCAUACAAUCCAUUAAAAUCCAUACAUUGAAAAUAAUUCAUUAAAAUCUCAAUCCAAUACAUCUCCUUAUUUGUGUUUUCAUAUUAUCAAAUAUAAAAAACUUAGUUUGUUUUUUCAUAGUAUCAAAUGUUUAUAUUUGGACUUAUUAACAUUAAGUGUGUAUUUGUAAUAGCUACAAUUAUUCAGGACUUCAAAAUUAUAUUUAAAUAGAGAGGAGGAAGCAUAAAUAUGUUCAAAAUUUGAGCUAAACACAGCCUGACAAGAUCUUAGCAACAAACUUAAAUUCAUACUUACAAAGGCAAAAUCACGUGUACAAGAAGAAGAAGUAAUGAAAUGAAAGAACUCUACAUAGCAUAACUAGAAUCUAGCUAAAGAUCUUUUCAAGAAAAUGGUUAUAUACGCAUGAUGAUUCGAGGAUAUGAACAAGCGUGGUUCAGUUUGAUGCGGUUUUAGUCAUCCGAUUAACUAUUUUUUAUGGGUGGUUUUCUGAUAUUUGUCCUUGAUCCACAUAAACCCACCUUUCACUUUCUUAGCUCCCGUAGAAGCUACCGUCUUUGUUUUCUCCAACCCUUUAGAAGCCACCGCACUUGUACCACUCUUCUGGGAUGUUUUCUGGGAAUAUUCCGGCAAGGGGUCCCACUGAUCAGCCCAUGAUGUUCCAUACGAGUUGUUGUAGUUGUUUCCCAAGUCCAUCCUGACAGAUACUACUGAUACUUGAAGUCUCGACCUCGAACGAGAUACAAUAAUCUUCGAUAUGUGAUCUGUAAAAUGAUCUUCGCACCAGAGAGAUGAGAAUUAUGUAUGCGUUUUUGUUUGUGUAAUUUGAGGAACAGAGUAUUUAUAUAGAGAAAUGACGUGUUUGUUACUUUGUUUAGCGUAUGGAAAGAUAUUACAUGAAGCGUAAGUAAUGAGGUGUAUUACACGGUCAAGAUUCAAUGGCUAAUGAUAGACUUCGGUAGAAUAUUAAACGAAGGGCUGCGCUGACGUGGAUUAAUCCACGUGUAAUAU
rnacentral:lncRNA from 1 species